rnacentral:rRNA from 1 species
GACGAACGCUGGCGGCGUGCUUAACACAUGCAAGUCGAACGGAAAGGCCCUGCUUGCAGGGUACUCGAGUGGCGAACGGGUGAGUAACACGUGGGUGAUCUGCCCUGCACUUCGGGAUAAGCCUGGGAAACUGGGUCUAAUACCGGAUAGGAGCCCUUUUUAGUGUGAUGGUUGGAAAGUUUUUUCGGUGUAGGAUGAGCUCGCGGCCUAUCAGCUUGUUGGUGGGGUAAUGGCCUACCAAGGCGGCGACGGGUAGCCGGCCUGGGAGGGUGGACGGCCACAUUGGGACUGAGAUACGGGCCAGACUCCUACGGGAGGGAGCAGUGGGGAAUAUUGCACAAUGGGCGCAAGCCUGAUGCAGCGACGCCGCGGGGGGGAUGACGGCCUUCGGGUUGUAAACUCCUUUCGCUAGGGACGAAGCUGUUUGUGACGGUACCUAGAGAAGAAGCACCGGCUAACUACGUG